rnacentral:lncRNA from 1 species
CUUGAUCACAUCUGAGUAUACAUGUUUAAAAUCAACUGACACCCUUCCAGCAUUCUAUGCAUCGAACUCAACUCGUAACCCAAAAACUCAAUUUAUGAGCAUUAUAGAAAAACAAAUAGGAGAAAUUCUCAACAAACAAGGGUCUGUGAAUGGGUUUGUGAACUAUCUUUCUAAAAUUAAGAAUGGAGAUGUAAAAUAUUUUUUGAAGAUUGGUAAUAAAAUAUUAAAAUUUAUUAUAGACCAUCUUCUUGAGAUUGACAAUCUAAAACCAUUAAAAUUUAUCAAUCCAAUAUUUGACACGGGA